CUUCCGCUGGACGAGGUACAUGUACCUCGUCCAUCGGAAGGCUUUCCUUCCGCUGGACGAGGUACAUGUACCUUGUCCAGCGGAAG
rnacentral:miRNA from 1 species